AGUUUGAUCCUGGCUCAGAACGAACGCUGGCGGCAGGCUUAACACAUGCAAGUCGAACGCAUCGCAAGAUGAGUGGCAGACGGGUGAGUAACGCGUGGGAACAUACCCUUUUCUACGGAAUAGCUCUGGGAAACUGGAAUUAAUACCGUAUACGCCCUACGGGGGAAAGAUUUAUCGGGGAAGGAUUGGCCCGCGUUGGAUUAGCUAGUUGGUGGGGUAAAGGCCUACCAAGGCGACGAUCCAUAGCUGGUCUGAGAGGAUGAUCAGCCACAUUGGGACUGAGACACGGCCCAAACUCCUACGGGAGGCAGCAGUGGGGAAUAUUGCACAAUGGGCGAAAGCCUGAUGCAGCAACGCCGCGUGAGGGAUGACGGCCUUCGGGUUGUAAACCUCUUUUAGUAGGGAAGAAGCGAAAGUGACGGUACCUGCAGAAAAAGCGCCGGCUAACUACGUGCCAGCAGCCGCGGUAA
rnacentral:rRNA from 1 species